AGCCUUGACCUCCUGGGCUCAAACAGUCCUCCCACCUCAACCUCCUGGCUAAUUUUUUUUAUUUUUUUGUAGAGUGUCCUGGUCUCUCUAUGUUGCCCAGGCUGGUCUUGAACUCCCGGGCUCAAGCAGUCCCUCUGCCUCGGCCUCCCAAAUUGCUGGGAUUACAGGAGGAAAAAAGUAAACCAGAUGUGAAUCUGAAAGAUCUCCAGAGUGAAGAAGAGAUUGAUCAUCCACUGAUGAUUCUAAAAGCAAUCUUAUUAGAGCUCGAGCUAAUCCAAGAUAUGGGGUUCCAUGUCAUUUACUGAAUGAAAUGGAUGCAGCUAAUAUUGAACUGCAAACCAAAAGGGAAGAAUGUGAUUCUGCAAACAAUACUUUUGAAUUGCAUCUUCACCUGGGCCCUCAGUAUCAUUUCUUCAAUGGGGCUCUGCACCCAGUAGUCUCUCAAACAGAAAGCAUGUGGGAUUUGACCUUUGAUAAAAGAAAAACUUUAGGAGAUCUCCGGCAGUCAAUAUUUCAGCUGUUAGAGUUUUGGGAAGGAGACAUGGUUCUUAGUGUUGCAAAGCUUGUAC
rnacentral:sRNA from 1 species